rnacentral:tRNA from 1 species
GGGCGAUUAGCUCAGCGGCAGAGCACACCGCUCAUAACGGUUAGGUCACAAGUUCGAAUCUUGUAUCGCCCA